rfam:Tupaia chinensis contig174809, whole genome shotgun sequence.
GCUUGCUUUGGCACUACAUACACUAAAUUUGGAAUGAUCCAGAGAAGAUUGUCAUAAUUCCUGUACAAAAUGAGAUUAAAAUCUCUGAAAUGUUUCAUAUUUUU